GACGAACGCUGGCGGCGUGCUUAACACAUGCAAGUCGAGCGGUAAGGCCCUUUCGGGGGUACACGAGCGGCGAACGGGUGAGUAACACGUGGGUGACCUGCCCUCAGCUCUGGGAUAAGCCCGGGAAACUGGGUCUAAUACCGGAUAUGACCUGCUGUUGCAUGACAGUGGGUGGAAAGUUUUUUCGGCUGGGGAUGGGCCCGCGGCCUAUCAGCUUGUUGGUGGGGUGAUGGCCUACCAAGGCGACGACGGGUAGCCGGCCUGAGAGGGCGACCGGCCACACUGGGACUGAGAUACGGCCCAGACUCCUACGGGAGGCAGCAGUGGGGAAUAUUGCGCAAUGGGCGAAAGCCUGACGCAGCGACGCCGCGUGGGGGAUGACGGCCUUCGGGUUGUAAACCUCUUUCGACCGGGACGAAGCGUGAGUGACGGUACCGGUAGAAGAAGCACCGGCCAACUACGUGCCAGCAGCCGCGGUAAUACGUAGGGUGCGAGCGUUGUCCGGAAUUAUUGGGCGUAAAGAGCUCGUAGGCGGUGUGUCGCGUCGGUCGUGAAAACUUGGGGCUCAACCCUGAGCGUGCGGUCGAUACGGGCAUCACUUGAGUUCGGCAGGGGAGACUGGAAUUCCUGGUGUAGCGGUGAAAUGCGCAGAUAUCAGGAGGAACACCGGUGGCGAAGGCGGGUCUCUGGGCCGAUACUGACGCUGAGGAGCGAAAGCGUGGGGAGCGAACAGGAUUAGAUACCCUGGUAGUCCACGCCGUAAACGGUGGGCACUAGGUGUGGGGGCCAUUCC
rnacentral:rRNA from 1 species